UGACCCUGUUCAGAUGGGAGACCUGCUCCACCAUUAAAGGGACAGAUUCGAAGGCACCAGAAGGCAGAGGCGAUGGCGAGACGGAUAGUGAUGCUGACCAAUGAGCUGGACAGGGGGAUGGAGCGAUGGAAGGAGCAGCAGACUGCCCUCUGCAGGCAGGGGGAGGAACGUCAGCUCAACCAGCCCCGACCGAAAGGAGCCAAGCACAGAGCGAGGGCCAAGUGCCCAGGUGGCAGAGGGCAGAACGUCGGCUAAAUAAAAUAUACCUGGCAAUGCU